CCGCCGGAGGACCAACCAAAACUCUUAUUGUAUACCCCCUCGCGGGUUUUUUACUAUCUGAGCCAUCUCGGCGCCCCUCGUGGGCGUUUCGAAAAUGAAUCAAAACUUUCAACAACGGAUCUCUUGGUUCUGGCAUCGAUGAAGAACGCAGCGAAAUGCGAUAAGUAAUGUGAAUUGCAGAAUUCAGUGAAUCAUCGAAUCUUUGAACGCACAUUGCGCCCGCCAGUAUUCUGGCGGGCAUGCCUGUCCGAGCGUCAUUUCAACCCUCGAACCCCUCCGGGGGGUCGGCGUUGGGGAUCGGCCCUUUACGGGGCCGGCCCCGAAAUACAGUGGCGGUCUCGCCGCAGCCUCUCCUGCGCAGUAGUUUGCACACUCGCAUCGGGAGCGCGGCGCGUCCACAGCCGUUAAACACCCCAAACUUCUGAAAUGUUGACCUCGGAUCAGGUAGGAAUACCCGCUGAACUUAAGCAUAUCAAUAAGCGGAGGAA
rnacentral:rRNA from 1 species